UACGAAGGGGGCUAGCGUUGCUCGGAAUCACUGGGCGUAAAGGGUGCGUAGGCGGUUCUUUAAGUCAGGGGUGAAAUCUCUGGGCUCAACUCAGAGGCUGCUUCCGAAACUGCCAUGCUUGAGUGCGGGAGAGGCGAGUGGAAUUACAGGUGUAGCGGUGAAAUGCGUAGAUAUCUGUAGGAACACCCGUGGCGAAGGCGGCUCGCUGGACCGCAACUGACGCUGAGGAACGAAAGCUAGGGGAGCAAACAGG
rnacentral:rRNA from 1 species